rfam:Brassica napus, WGS project CCCW01000000 data, contig: 31414
GGAAUAUAAAAAUCCGUCUCUUAACUUUUAACUAAAAAAACUAAGAACCGGUUCUUAAAUAUUAAGAACUGGUUCUUAGCUUUUUUAGUUAAAAGUUAAGAGAUGCAUUCUUAUAUUUC